rnacentral:rRNA from 1 species
AGCGAACGCUGGCGGCAGGCUUAACACAUGCAAGUCGAGCGGGCACUUCGGUGUCAGCGGCAGACGGGUGGGUAACACGUGGGAACGUACCCUUUGGUUCGGAAUAACGCUGGGAAACUAGCGCUAAUACCGGAUACGCCCUUUUGGGGUAAGGCUUGCUGCCGCAGGAUCGGCCCGCGUCUGAUUCGCUAGUUGGUGGGGUAAUGGCCUACCAACGCGACGAUCAGUAGCUGGUCUGAGAGGAUGAUCAGCCACACUGGGACUGAGACACGGCCCAGACUCCUACGGGAGGCAGCAGUGGGGAAUAUUGGACAAUGGGCGCAAGCCUGAUCCAGCCAUGCCGCGUGAGUGAUGAAGGCCUUAGGGUUGUAAAGCUCUUUUGUCCGGGACGAUAAUGACGGUACCGGAAGAAGAAGCCCCGGCUAACUUCGUG